rnacentral:lncRNA from 1 species
GAGAGAGAGGUGCCAAAAAUAAAAUAAAAUAAAAUAAAUCAUACUCAAGUGUACAUUCCACAAUUCCAAUCAAAUGCUUCUUCCCACAUUUCAAACCUUUCAUUAUAUUCAUCUUUCACAUUUCUAAUAUAUUUAAUAUUUUGCUAAAUAAAUCUAUUAAAGGGAAUAAAACUUUUCUUCCUAAUUGUCUUUUCUCUCAUUUAUAAUUGGUGCUCCCAAUUUUGAAUAAUUUCAUUUCUUACAAAGAAAGGUAAUUCAGUGAGAAUCUUUGGUUAGAUGAUUCAUUCUAAUAAUAAAGUUAUAUUAUUGUGAUCGUAUAAAAAUAUAUUGAUUAAUCUCGAUUUAAUCCCCAUCAUGAUAUCUAAUAUAAUUAUUCAAUUGAAAUGAUGCUGACAUGAAAUUUAAUAUAUUUAAAUAUUAUUCUAUUUAAUAAAAAGAUUAUUUAAUAAAAAGAUAAUCAAUUAUGAAAUUUCUAAAAUAGUUUAAAACAUGUUUUUCAAACUUUUUUAUCAAAUAAUAAAUGAAAGGAUGUAUUUAGAGUUUUCAUUUAAUUAAAUUCUAUACUAAUCAUAUGAUUAGGACCAAAUGAGGAAAAAACAAAAUCCUCUCAUCUCCCCCAUUGAAUUUCCCAAAAAUAAAGCGUUUCCAUACAAUCUAAUUCUGAGCUCAAUUUGGCAUUUUCUUCAAAAUUUCAUUUAAGCCCAUCAACAUCAUUAUAAUUCACAUAAGCAACCAAUUUUAAAUAAAAUUACAUUUUCAUAUACAUGAAACAUUUGGGUGCAAAAUAAAAAUUUGGGACAAUGGAGACAAAAGCAAACCAGGAUGUGCAUCACUGUCCUAAUCCCUUUCAUCUCAUUAUCUUUUCUUUUCUUUGCAGAAAGGGCCUAGCCGUCUGCUACUUCUUGUCUCUAUUAUGGGCCUGGCUUUACUCAAUCAUUUUCCCUCUUUUUACAUUUUUUUUUAUUUUUUUUUAAAUAUUUCUGUGUAUCCCAUAAUAUAGAAAAUAAAAAAAUAAUUCAAAAUCUGGCAUUUUCGAAACCGUGCAAAUCGCUAACCCUGUUCAUAUGCUUUCUCAUAAUCGCCAAUUUAGCCAAUCUCUCCGCUGCUCUCCACGCCGAUGUCGGCGUAAUAGGCUCAGGCUUCUCCUCCGAUUGUUGAAUUCUCUGCCUUUGGCUCUCCACCAGCUGCUGUCUCCGUCUAUGCACUUCAGCGAGCUCCGCCUCUAAGCUGCGCAAAUGAUCUAUUGUGGAGCCGUCACUCGACUGCAUCAUCAAAGCUCGAGCCGAGGAUAAUAAAUGAUAAGCUCCAGACAAAUCUUUAUGAUCCAUUAAUCGCUGAGAUUCAGCUAUUGCUCUAGUGGUGAUGUGAAGGUCCUUCAGCCAUUGGAUAUUGGGCACUGAUGAUCGAACGGUUUGGGGGCGGGGCAUUAACAGUGCUUUUUCUUUAGAUAAGAUUGGCUCCUGCGAUAAUGGGUCUUUAAACGAUGACUGUACCGAUAAUAUAUGCUGGGACCCAUUUGAAGCAGCUGGCACUUUCAAUUCUACGAGUAAUUCUCUCUCUUCCUCGGCGUGGAGAUCCCCAAGCCGGACCGAACCGGGUCCAAAUGCACUGGGCCGACCGGUGAGUGAGUAAACAGCUGAUAUUUCUGCAGGAUGUGAACCGGAAAUAAACCCGAUUUGAAGUUUAAGAUCUUGAACCACAACGCUUAACAAUCCACUCGCGUACUUGGCCAAUGCAUCCUCAGUUGGCGAGUUCUUGCACGCGCUUAUGCUUCCGAGACUAAUGGAGUGCACAGGAAUUUCCAUGUGAGAAAAACGGGUCGACGACACGAUCCUUGAUGAACGUUUCUGAGCAACCGAGUUCACAUAGGACCGGUCAUCUUGACCGUUGGAUAUAAUGAUAAUGCUGGCAAUGGGAUUCUUCACUCGGCGAUCUUCAAUCACUUUCGUGGCCUUUUUAAGCGCGUCGUUUGCACUCAUCCCUUGACCAGUACUCCCCAGCGCAUCAACAAUCCGACGUGCCGAUCUCCGUCCUUCGACCGUCAUCCUCCUCAACGGCAAUAACCGCUUGGACGUCGCUGAGAAGGCCACAAUCGACAACCGAUCAGUGGAAUUCAAUGAAGAUAUUAGACGGCGCAUCACCCGUUUCAUCAUUUGUGAAUUUACCCCGCGCAUCAUCUCACUCACGUCGAGAACCGUCACCAAAUCAAUGGGUGGUCGGCGUGCCGCUGGAGACGGUGGGGCUUUCACCUUAAGUAUAACAACUUGCGUCUGGGAACUCUUCCCAACUGUGAGCAACGCAGACUCCGGCAACAAACUGACCUCCACACUUUUAGCAUUCACCUUGAAGGGAUUACUAACUUUGACUGGAGUUGGAUUGACAAGAAAGCCUUGAAACUCUUGAGUUGCGUUCUCAUCAUCAUCUUCGACGUCGUUUUCUUCCAAUUCAGGUAUAGGAUUGAAGAGCGAACCGGGAGAAGGAGACAUGAGAGGCUCAUCGUCGUUGUAGAUUCUCAAGUUCCUGAUUUUUGAAAGCUCUUUGAGCUUUUCGUCUGCUUUCUUUAUUUCUGGUUUGUGGUGGACAGAGAGCAAAGGUAGUUCUUUCCAGGUGGCGCGACAAACAGGGCACGUAAGGAGCUUCUGCUUCUUCACGUGUGCAGCUACGCAAGGGAAGUGGAACACAUGGCUGCAUUCCGCUGUGAAGAUAGCUGCUCCUUGAGCACUUUUCACGCUCUGCAAGCAGAUUCCGCAUCUACUCUGCAAACCCAAAAAAUAAAGCAUUUCAGCGAUCAUUGAAAAGGAAACGUUCCAUAUACUUUAGGAUUUGAUUGUAAUAAAAGGAAAUACAAUACUUACUCUGGAGAGACGGAGGCUGGCUUUGAGAAGAGAGAAGCUGGAGGGGGAAUUCGGAGAGGAGGGAUUGGAUGAGUUGAAUAAUCUUGGGCUGAUGCAUUUUUUUGUGGUUGCAGUUUUGCAUUGGAACUUUGGGCUGUUGGGUACCGACGAUGUAGGAGUCGUAGCCGUGGUUGUCCGGCACCGGAGACUUGGGCUCGAUACAGACUGAGAUUUUAAACGGGGUGUUGAUGGAUUGGAGAAAAAUCCAAACUUGGAGCUUAUUCUUGGGCUAUGGGUACUGGGGGCGGUGGUGGCAGUAUUGUUUUUGGAACGUUGUUGUUGUUGCUGCUGCUUCUCUGUGAAUACAGUGGUUUCUCGCUCUUUAGGAAUGGAUGUACAAAACGCUCUUCUCCAACCAGUCACCAUUGUGAAAUAGAAAACUGUGUUUUCUUCUCAGAGUCUCAAAGGGCUGUUUUCUGAAGGAUUUGAUGAGUGUCAAAUGGAUUGAGCAUGAAGGAGGUGAAAUGAGAAAUGAAGAGGAGACAAAUUAAAAGAAGUAGAAGCAGAGGUUGUUCUGUUUUUUUCUCUUUCUUUCUAAUGGCUCCCAAAAGAUGAUUACUGAUAUGAAAAGCUCUCACUGUAGCUGCCAAAAUUUUAAAACCCUUUCUCUCUCCCUUUAUUUUUCUCUCCGGGAAUUGCUUCGGUAGCCGAAUGGGACGUGAAAUAUCCAAUAAAAAGGAAAAAAAACUGGAGAGGAAAAAGGCAAUUGUUACAUUUAAAGCAAAGUUGGGCAUCGGGAUUUGUAUUGUGACUGGCAGGUGUAGGUUGCUACCAACAGUACAAGUCAACGGAAUUGGCUCUCUCUCUUUUGUCUUUUUUAAUAACAGGGCACUGUCCUACUAGUUACUCCCACGUUACGUUUCACCGACUUCUCUUUCAACCUUCAAAUGCACAGAAUAGAUUAGAAAAAAACCGCAUGCUCCGCUUAAUCGGAUUAGCAAAGAUAUUUGGAGUUCAUCCUAGCAGAACGGAAAUCGACCUGCAAUCUUAAUUCAUCUACUCCAAUCAAAUAAGAUCCAAAUAUUAUAAUUUUUAAAAUAAAUUUUCGAUUGAAGUUAUCAAGGGCGCAUUUUGAUUCAGUAUUUGGACUUACUCUAUGCUAUCUUACCACAUCUUCACAAUCAAAAUUACUCUUCACACCAUCACCCAUCUGAGGGUCUCUCUGUGCGUGCAGAGGUGAUAUUUUGUUUGAUUGCGAAGCAGUAAAUGAGAGAGAUCUUCAAGAUUUGGCUCCAUACGGUUAAUGUGUAUAUCCGUAUCCAUUUCGAGUUUUACCCAAAAAAAUAAUAAAAAUAAAAAUUAACAGUGACAGCAGCCAUUAUUUUGAGCACAGCGAUCCCUAGGGAAUGAAGAGGCACUGAACCAGAAUAUUAAAAAAAUAAUAAAAUCAAAUAAAAUCAAAAUUCCUCUAAGAAAAUCCCAAUUAAUAAAAUAUUGGGCCAUAAUUAAAAUGGUCUAAAUCACUUGGCAAGUUACCGUUACUCAUAUAUAUAUAUAUAUAUACUUUUUUGUGUAUAGAUAAUAAUUUAUAUCUAAAAAAUAUUUUUUAUGAAAAUUUUUUAUAAAAAAUAUUUAUUUCAUAUUUUGAAAAUAAUAAAUUAUUUUUUUAGAAUAUUUUUUAAUGAAAAAAUAAUUUUUUUACUAAUUUUUAUAUACAUCUCAAACCACAUACAAAUAUUUCCAUAACCAGUAGAAUUAAUAUAUUUAAAUCGAAUAUUUAAAAAUUAAUAAAAAAUAUUUUUUAAUAUAUAUAAAAAAUAAAGUGAAUAAAAAUUAUAAAAUGGAUGAAUAUUUAAUUUAAAAUAAAACUAAUAAUAGCUGCUUAUAGACUAGUUUUUAAAUAUUUAUUUAAUAAUUACAUUUAAUUUAAUUGUUUAAAUAUUUAUUAGUUAUUAAUAAUAUUUAAUAAUUAAAUUAAAUAUUUUUUAAUUUUUAAUUUGUAUAUUCAAAAAUUAAUAUUUAAGUCUUAGCUCUGUUAACUAGCCUAUUAUAAUAAAUUAAAGUGCAUUCUCUCUAAUCAUUCAGGCUAAUUAUUAUGAUUUGAAAAUGAAAUGAAAAAUUCAAAGAGAGAAUGAUUGGAUAAUUUUAUUUAUAAUUUCUAUUAUUAGAUAAAAUUAUAUAUAUAUAUCUGUAAUAAUUUUUUAUAGUUAAAAUAUUUAAGUUCAGAUUAUUUUGUUUAUUUUUAUAUAAAAAUUAAAAAAAUAAUGUGAAAAACGAAAAUUAUGAUAGCAUACGUGGAACGUUGCAGGGUAAUCUGAGAAAGAAGUAAAGUAGCUUCCCAAAAAGCAUCACUACGACGGUUGAGUUGACAUAUUUGACACCACUUCCUAUCUCUGUCAAAAACCAAAAACAUGUCACGUGCUCACCCCAUAACGCCGUUACCUCCGCCGGACUGCUCGCCGUCUUGAGAUUUGAGAAUACCUUCCAAGUGGACGGCGUUAGUCAACUCCUCCUGCUUUUAUCGAUACACAGCUCGUGUACGGCCGUUAACAAACGCCACAGUAAAUUAUUUAAUUUAACCUCGUUUACCGCGACUAAAAUCUGUUUUUUUUUAAUUAUUUUUAUUACUGCUUCUGCCUUUUUCUUCUCACGGUUGACUAUAUUUUUGUGUUUCUACGUUCACUCUUGGAUGUCAAGCUUUACUUUACCGGCUACCGGCUGAGGUUAGUUUACUUGUUUUUUUUUUCCCCUUCCAUUGAUGUCCCAUGUGGCACGUGAUUAUCCCUACUUAUGCUGGCUACGGUUUUUAGCAUAAAUUAUUGAUGUACCCAAACAAUACUUUAUUUACGUAAAUUUCAUUUUGCUCACUUUAAAAUAAAUGAAGUCUUUCAAAAAAACUCAUACAUUGUAGCAUUUAAAUCUCAUAUUAGACAAACUAUAUAGAAAAAAUCUAGACAAAUCACAUAGAGAAGAUAUGAGGGAGAAAAAGAAUAAAAAGAUUUUACGUUGAGAGGAGUUUUAUUAAGUUUAUUAAGAGUAUUUUUGGUAAAAAAUUUUACCUUUCACCUUAGAUUCUUUGACCAAAGAGUCAUUUGGAACGGAAGGACUGCGAAUUCGGAUGAAAGAGAAAGUGAGAGAUUUAAGUGUUGGUCGCCAAAAUAGAAUGACAAAAAUGUUAAUUAUGUUAAAUUUCAUUGACUAAAAAAUAAUUUUUUAAAAAAUAAAUGAACUCGUUCGGAAAAACUCAUACAUUAUAGCAUUUAAAUCUCAUAUUAGACAAAUUACAUAGAGAAAAUUUAAAUUCAGACUGUAACAGCCCGGAAACUGGUACCCCUCUGUAACGGUCCAAACUGCUCGGCGCUAGGAUCCAGAUCGGCUUAAGGCCGCCAGAACCCGUAGCAAGCCUAACCUGAACACUGAUAAAAUCCAUACAUGAAACCUUUUUACAAAAACGACCAGGCUUAACCGAAAAACAACUCAGGUAAACCAACCUGAAACAGCCCCCAGGGAGUACACCAGUGAUCCUCUACCAAGCUUAACCUCCAUGCCCUAUGUCUGAAUACAUAGAACCCACUCUCAUAAGGUCAGCAUAUCACGGGUAAGCCUUGGUUUCCGCUACGGGUCAAGGGAUUCAAACCCUUUCUUCCCUCACGGUCUGCUCUAGGGUCAAGGGGUUGGAACCCUUUCUUCCCAAUCACUGGAGUUUUAUAAACACAUCAUAUGUUAGACCUGGUUUAACACAUUUCUCAUCAAGAAACAUAAAACAGGUUACAUGCAUACAUUAGGCAAAGCACAUACUAAACCAUAAACACACUAAUGUACAAGUUAUGAUCCACUUAAGCUAUUACAUCACGUUAUAUACAUUUCUGUCAGUUCUAUCAUGUCCACUAUUCUAAUACAUAAUCACAUCCUAAUCCAUGACUGUACUGUUUACCCUUGCUCACUCUGAGCUUCUCCUAGCUUUCUCUGUACCUGCAAAACUGGGGUUAAGGAAAAGGAAUGAGCUACAAGAGCCCAGUGAGUAGAAACACUGAAAACAAGUCAUUACUUACAUAUUCUCAUGAAAUGCGUCACAGUACAAACAUAUCACAUCUCGGAUUAGACAUGAUCUCAAAACUCCCUCUGUUGGUGCCCGGCCCUAUGGACUCCCAGGUCACUACAUGGUCUAGCGCCCCGCCCCUCCUAUGGAGUUCCCACAGGUCUUAUCUAGCCAUAACAGAUCGUGGGCUAUUGAAGUCGCCUGGGUCCAAUCCCCAUCAACAAUAACUAAUGCAAUGCAGUAUAUUCAUGAUUCUAAUGAAAUCACCCUAGCACAUAACAUGGCAUCCAUGAUGCAUGAACUAUGCUAAAGCAUUCCAUUUUCUCAGUAUAAAAGAUUAAGUUUAGUUCUACUCACCUGAAGCCACUACUCAGCUAACACUGGACCAGCUUACUCUGAAGCUAAACACCUCGACUCCUCAGAUCCGAUCCUACACAGGUGGACUCACAUGAGGUGCCAAACAAGACUAACAUAACUCAUAAACAACUCCCCAAAGAACCCCCUAAAACAUCCUAGAACAAUCACAAAAGUCAUGCAAAGGAAGGCUGGACAGGCACUUUCGGCGGCAGGUUCGGCGGCCGAAUGUCCUCUCCAGAGCCGAAACUCAAGCAGGUUCGGCGGCACCUUCGGCGGCCGAAUGUCUCCUCUAGAGACAAAAGUCCAAAAGUUCGGGGGCAACCUUAGGCAGCCGAAACCACCUCCACAAGGGGUUCGGCGGUCGAACAUUCCUUCGGCGGUCGAACAUUCCUUCGGCUGCUGAACCUGAGUUCCUCCAGAACUCAGCCUCGCGCACAACAAGCCUCCCAAACCUCUCAAACCUUUCCCCACCUGCUUCCUAUCUCUUAAAACCAUGCACAACUCCUACAACAAGCAGAAAGAAGCUUAAAACCAUCUAACACUUCAACAAACAACUCACAUAAACAUAUGAACAUGCUUUAACACAAAAAUAUCCUUCAAUCCCUAGAAACCCUACACAUGCAUAACUCUCCAUAAAACAGCUUAAAACCUUCAGAAAACAUGAAAGAAGUUCAGGAUCUUCACUUACCAAGAAGAUGAUCGAUCCUAACGUGAAGAAAUGGAGAAACAAGCUCUCAAACUCUCCAAGCUUCACUUGUUUCAAAACCUUUGCUCAAACCUUUAAAAACACAAGUUAAAUCCCAUUAGAACUGCUAUGAUUUGGAAAACAAGCUGGAAAUCCACCAAAGGAGAACACAACCGACCUGUGCAGGAAAAGAGAGUGAAAGCACCUCCCUUAAUCGGUCACAAGGGUUCUUAUAGGCGGCCAACCGCUUCAGUUUCGGCGGCCAAAGCUGGCUUUCGGAAGCCAAACCUUGCCAAUCUUCGGCAGCCGAACAUGAGAUUCGGAGGCAGUAAAACCAUGCAAUGUUCGGCGGCCGAACCUUGCAAAUCCUCCUUGGCCGUUUUUCUUCCAACACUCCUUUCCUUUUCACCUGCAACCAUGAAAACAAGUUAAAACAUUUAGAAAACUUUUGUUUAACUCUUGCCGUACCCUCGCUUUACCCUUGCUAGAAGGGUCCGACAUCCGACAUUCCACCGAACAGUAGAAAUUCUGAUGCCUAAACGAGCGGGGUAUUACACAGACACUUGUUAUAUGUUAUAAUAUUGAAAGCACAUAUCUAAUAGAUAUUUUAAAAAAGAAAUAAAUUCAAAAUAUCUAAAUUUAUGAUACAUUUAAUUAUCGAAUUAUGAUAAUUUUUAUUAUAAUAAAUAGAGUUAAAUGUAUAUAGAAGUUUUAUUAUAUAAAAAUAAUAAUUGAAAAAAAUUCUAAUUAUUUUUUUGAAUUUUGCACCAUAAUUUUAUUGUUCAUGCUAUAAAUAGAAAAACUAUUGAAUGCUACUACAACACUAUCUUAUCUUUUUGUGCUAAGUUUACAAAUAAAAUCAAUAGUGUUACAAUAAAUUUUUAAAUCAACCCUUUAUUAAUGAUUUAAGUUUUGUGAGUAAUUUUAUUUUUUAAUUAUUUAUUGUAAUAUUUUUUACUUCAUGGUUAUGAUGGAGUGUAGUUGUAAUGGGAUGAAUUUGCAAAAAGGAAGAUAUAAAGCGAAUAUUAUUCCAACGUUUAAAUCAGAAACCGAUAAAAUGAACGAGAAUUAUUUAGAAUUAGAAAUGGCCAGCGGUGUAAAAAUGUAUAUUUUAAUUUAUGUGUAUAUUGACUUUUAUAUUAUAAGAAAGUAACGUUGGUAAUUAAAUCACUUGCAAAUUCAAUUGAUACAGACUAAUAAAUAAAAAAUCUUAUAAUUAUAGGUUUAAUGGUAAUUUAUUGAAUUAUAUCUAUUAAUAAUAAUUUUUUUGUGAAAUAUUAUUUUAUUCAAAAAAUGGCAAAUUUUGAUAGAAAAUGGAAUAUUACAGUCUUUCUUUUGAAAGACCGUAUAUCAGUUUGUAAAACGCAAAGCACAUACCAUGAUAAUUGAUUUUGUACUAUUAUUAUAUCAAUCAGUAUCCCUGAAUAGGAUGGACAUCUAAUGAUUUCCUAUUUUAUAUUAAUCAAAUAACCUAUUCCAUGAUUUCUUUAACAGAAAAUGUUAUUUCAAAAUUAAAAUAAAUGUUUUUCCAAAUUUGCUGUUGCAAUAGAAAAUAUUAAUGUCAAUUGAUUAUCUGCAGUACAUUAUCUGAAAUACGAACAAUUAAAAAAUUUGAAAUGCGUGAAUGUGAGCUUAAAUUUAAAAAUAAUUUUAAAAAAUUAAAUUUAAAUCAAAAUUUAGUUUUUUUAAAACGUAAAAGAAAAAUGAUUAGUAAUGAAGUAAGAAAGGCAAUGUUGCAUUUUAUGGAGACAUAAUAAGCAAUAAGUGUCCAAUUAAAAUGGGCUAAACGCAAUUUAUCAUCAUGAGAGUUUCUUUCUUUUUAUUACAAUAAUGGAUUAUGCCAAACACACCCUAUCACCCUUUCUGCAUUACUCUAUGCUUAAACAUUAAACAGCCGUUCCUCUAUUUCACCACCAACUAAACUCAUCAAGUAUACUCCAACAAUCAACUUCCUUUUUUUUUUUUAAAUAUAUUUCUAUUAUUUUCUACAGUUUUGAAAAAAACUUUUCUAUUAUUUAAUUCUAACGUUCAAAAAAUAAAAGUUAUUAAUAAAUUUAUGUAUAAUGAUAUGAAUAAAAUUUUCUAACAUUCAAAAAAUAACUUUAUUUUUUCUUUAAUUUAAAAUAUACUUUUUCCAAUUAAUAUAUUUUUUAAAAAUUUAAGGACCUAAUUGUGAUUUUCCAAUUCUGAAAUAGGAUUUGCCAUUAAAAUACCUGGCAGCAGCACACUUCCUCUAGGAAUAUCAACACUUUCCCAUCGUCCUUUUAGCUUUAGAGAUAAUUGAAAAUUGUCAUUUAUGUUUUUGGGAGGGCCAAGGAAGUAAUACCCAAAAGGUUUUAUUUUAAUCCUUAGGACAUAUGCCAACCACUUGAUGUGAACUUUGAUCAUUGGUGGGCAACAAAUUUAGCUAAUUAUCUGAAGAAAAAAAAAACCUACUAUUUAAUCACAAAAAUUUAUUAGUUAAUUCAUUAAUUUUAAAAAAUAUAUUAAAAUAUUUUUAAAAUUUUAAAAAAUUUAUUAAUUAGUAUUUUUAUUAAUUUUAAUUAUUAAAUAUUAUAUAAUAAUUUAAAAUAUUUUUUUUAAAAAAUAAAAAUUAAUUAAUAAAUUUUUCUAUAUUACAGAGAUUAAAUAGUAAAAUGUUUAAUGGUUAAAAUUAAUAGAAAAAAUAAUUAAUAAAUUUUUUAAAAUCUAAGUAUGUUAAAAUAUAUUUUUUAAAAUAAAAUAAUUAAUUAUUUAAUUUCAUCAACUCAUAUAAAUUAAAUAGUGAUGCUACAUAUGAAUUAUUUAAAAUAAAUUUUGAACGGUUGCUACAAAAUAAGACCAUGUGAGAAAAGUAUAAUACCAAAUAUGUAGUUUCACUCGAGAAAAUGAAAAUUCAGAUAUCGUAACACUCGAUUUAUCAUCAAGAUUUACCCUCUCAUAGAUAAGUCGAGUCUUGAUAUGAAGUUAUCGUUAACAAACAUAAAUCAACAUACUUCCGUUACGCAUAUAAUAACGGAAUUUCCGAUCAGUUAGUCCGACGAGAUCCUUUAUCAAUUGACACAUUGUAUCGUCGCCCAAUUAUCAAAAAAUAUUAUAUUCAACUCUAUUCUAUUAUAGUAUAAAGGGAGAUUAUCACAAAAACAAACGUAUAUAAUUUUUUUAUACAAUUAUUUUCAAGUUUUAUAUUCGUCAUAUUCGCCAUAUUUUUUAAUUUACUGAUUUGAGUGCUAGAGUGACUAAUUGUCGUACACACUGACCAUCUCAUAUUUUUUUUUUUCUUUAAUCAAUCACAGUAUUCGGCUGCACUAAAUAUUCUUUAUCUCAAACUAUAGAUGAAAGAGAAGGGACAUGACUACUCUUAGAUCCUUUUUGAAAACAAUGACAUUAGUGUUAAUUUUAAAGUCUUUUCAAAUGAGGGCAUAUCAAAUCAAACCCAUUAACAUGUAUGAGUGCCCUUUAUUUAAAAAUAGUAAAAGAAAACCACUUAGCACAUGAAAUAGGGAUACACUCCAUAUGAUAGAUCCGCAAAGAAUUUAAUUAAUUGGAAUUUUUAAGCAACCAAAUUGAGCAAAGUGGAUGGCCUUCUACAAUCUAUGCUUAGAUCUAAGUGAAGCCUAAUCACCAUGGCCAUGCCUUUAGAAUGCUUUCUUCAAAUCAAUAGUUUUCUAAAUUCUCUGCUUUGGAGUAUGAGAGAUUGUGCAAAUCAUCAAAAGUACCAGGAAUAUAGGGUACUUUGAGGUCAAUCUACUAUUAUAAUGAAAAUAACGCAUUAUUCUAUUUUUAUUAAGUAUAAAGAUUUGCAUCUUUUAAAAAAAAAUAUGCGAUUCAAAAUUUUAUUUUACAACAAGAUUUAGAUUUUUCUUAUUUCCAUCAAAACUCAUUCUUCUUGUUCUAAUUUGUUAAUUGGGCAUAUCUUAAAAUAAUUAAAGAACCAUAAGAGAGAUUUUUUUUUUUUAAUAAAAAAUGAAAAAAUAAAAAUUUAAACAUAAAUAUCAUGAAUUAUAUAUAUAUUUUUAGUCAUUCUAUCAAAUCGAACUAAAUAUAAAAGAAUUUUAGGUAGUUAACAUAAGAAUAUUUUUAAAAACACAAACCCGAGUGCAAGCCAAAAGCAAAAUAAAGAAAGAGUAUGAGACUAUGAAUCUUACCAUAAGGACAGAAACCAAUCAUGGUGCUGACCAAAUUUGCUUCGGCCUCAACCUCACAUGCCCAAAUGGAUAUGGCAUAAACUGACACAACAAUAACUACUAAUGUUUCUUAAACAAAUAAGAGGAUUUGUAUUUCUAUUUAUUUAUUUUUUAAAAAUUUUAUUGUUUUGAAUUUCUUUUGAUGCAUGAUUAGCAAUUAGUUACAUGGAGAUUCGAUCAAACUACCAUAAAAAUUAGGUAAAGUCACAUGGAUAAGGAAGAAGAGGAGAGGAGUAAUAAGUUCCACAAACUAAAUAAUGGAGUAUAAUAAUAAUUAUAUAAGGGGGAAUUUGCCUUUGGUUGGUGGUUGAGUGGUUGACAUUAUUGGGGCACAUGCCAUCAACUCAUAGCUGCUACAAUCCCCCACUAACUAUAUACAUAUACCUUACUAAUAAUAUAUUAAUAUAUAUUUUAUUAUUAAUAUAUAAUACCCUUUGAAUGAAAUUCAUGUUUGAUGUAUAUAAAACAAAACCAUAAAAAAAUUUUAAUUGUAAUUUAAUUUAAUAAGCAGCUUAAAUAUCCAAGCCCAUGAUCAAAGGCCAGGGGAAAAUUAUGCAAAAUAUCAAAUUUGUCUUUAAACUAUUUAUUGAGGUUAAAAAUGCUUAAUAUUAUUUUUUAAUUUAAAAAUUUAUUGAUAAUUCAAAAAUAAAUUUAUAUUGAAAAAUGAAAUUUAAUAUUUUUUUACUCGUUAUAUAAUUUAAGGUAAAUUUAAUUUUUUAGCUAAAAAUUAUCAAUAUCAUUAAAUUAUGCCAUGAUUUGAAAAUUUGUGUAAACUAGGACAAAUUUCACUUCAAUAUUCUUUUUGGGUACAUUUUCACUUCAAAAUCUGUUACAUCUCAAGAUUACAUUGAAAUUUUCUAACACGUACAUUGCUUUUCUAUCAAUAACAUUGCGGCUACAAUGCAGAGUACCUAGAGGAGACUAGAAUUUUAUUUUUUUUAUCUUUUUGUGAUUAUUUUUGGUCCCUCCACCACAAGAAAUAAUUGAAUUGCAUUUCAAAUUUCUGAAGGUCGUACUUCGAUGGACCAGUAACAUUAAGGGGGUUGAAUUUCUUGGUAUUGUCCUUUUUGCCUUGGACCAAAAUAACCAACUACAUGCUUAACCAUUCACUAAAUUCACUAAGUAGUUCAUCAGCUCAUUUUUCAUAUCUCAUUCACAUAGGAACUGCUAAAAAUUGAAGAAGCAUUGGAGAAACCAACCCACACCGUCUUAUUUCAAAUCUAUUUUGAUUAGGAUUCAACAUCUUUCCUAUCAGAUCUUCAUUAGGUAGUCAUCCACGUUGUCACUUCAAAAUAAACCUAAAACUUGUACUAAAUGCUAAAAUGACGCAAUAGAGGACCAUUUCCAGUUGGAAGAAUAAAUGGGAUAUUGAUGAAUGUGCUUCAAUGAGCCUACAUUUCUACAUCAAACUCUUAAGGAUCAUUCAGUUCUUUGAACUGAAAGAUGGGGUGGUGGCUAGCAGAGAAACGUGGAGCUAUAGGAGAAGAACACAAGAGACCUUUUGUUAAAGAAAUGUGCUGCCAAUAAGAUUCAAAGUAGGCAUCUAUCAUACUCUCACUGAAUCAUAAACAGGAGAUGUGGCAGCAUAGGGCACAUACGUGAAGGUCAAUGGCAUUCAUUGCUAUCUUUUUUCCUGAAUUAAUGAGUGACAGAGUUGAGGGACACCCACAAGUUGUCCACAUUCUAUUGAGGAAUUUAGUUAUACUUGUCCAAAAUUUAGAGCACAAAUGUAGCUCUAGACUGAGUAGAUAGUGGACACAGUUUCUUUAUACUCACCCCAGUAGACUGCAAUUUUAAAAAGAAAAAUCAAAUUAAGAUAAUAUUUUCAUCUUUGCUCUUGUGUAGUUAGUGAAGAGGAAGCAGCUACCUUCUUACUUACCAUAGUGAGCACAUGGGAAGAAGCCAGAAGCAGACAAGAAGACGCAGUCUAGUCACCGAAAUGUUUAACAAAAUAUUAAUAAUUCUUAUCCAUAUAUUUUCCUGUCCUGUAUCAGAAAAUUCAAAUUCUCAAUCAAGAGAUAAUCUCAGAAUUGGUAAGUAAAAUCAUAGUCACGUCUCAAUAUCAGACAAAGGAAAUCAACAUCUAGUAAAAGAUAAGUACAAGUUGGAGGACACAAUAAUACAAUGUUGAAAUGUCAUAUCAAGCACUUACAAUGAAUUGUUGCCUAGUAGAUGCUCGAAAAUGACUUAUAUGGCUGUUAGCAAGUUGCAAUUCAAAAUGCCUAUGUUAAGAGUCUAUAGUUGUAAUAGAAUUAGGAAAGUGAUGGCCAAGCUAUCAUGACUGGAUAUGUUUUUCUUUUCCUCCAAACCUCUUUUCAAGUGUCCACUAAUGCGAAACAUAUAUGGAGAUUUCAUGGCCAACAAAUGAUAUGGUAAUUCAAUACAUGAAACCAUGGAAACAUGAAUUUUCUACAUGUUUUUCUUGGCCAUUCAAAAUUGUUACUUUAUCACACACACAGAGCAAUAGUUUUUAUGUGUGGAAGUGCAUGUGUCUUAAAAUCAUAGGAAAUCAAUAUUGAACUGGGUAUAGUAAAUUCUAUUGAUUUGAAGUUUGCCCCAAAAGUAUUCUCAAUGUGAACUUGGAAUAUUUGAGUUUUAUCGGUUAAUGGGUAACAAAUCUUUGGUUUUAAAGUCACCUAUGCUAAAAAUUACAUGCCUAUGGCUAUGACUGGAGUCACAAACCACAGUAAGAAACGGACUGCUUAGAAAGAAAGAAAUUUAUAUGGAAUCUAUCAUGACAAAAGAAUUCAUUAAAUGUUACAGCUUUUCUCCACCAUUUAAUUAAUAAUUACAGCCAACUUCAUUAACUACUCCACUUUCCCAAUAACUCAAAUCUAAUUAAUAUUUGAUUUCAGGUCCAACUUUCUCAAAGAAAACAAUAUUCAAACCUCAAAGUGAAAGCUAUCAACAUCAUAGAAAUAAAGUCCACUAAAAGCAGAAAAAAAUGAAAGGCAAAAACUAGAAAAGAGUUUCUCUUCCAUAAGCAGUUUUCAAUUAACAGAACAGACAAAAGCUUAUAGAACAUACCAGGCCAGUUUUACCUAAACACAGUCCCGAAAUGAGGAAAUGAAAUAAAUUUCAAGCAAGCUAGUUCUAGCUUGCCUUUUCUCAACCUACGCCAGUAAGAGAAAUACACACCCACCAGUUGUGAAACAGAAAUCUACGAGGAAAGAGAACUACAAAAACCUAGCAUACCACAAAGUCAAUUAGAAAGCAAUGAGACCCCCCCCCAACUACUAGAAUUUUGUUGAAUGGCCUAAAAAGAGUGAAGUCUAUCUUCUCUGGAAAAAAAAGGACCCCCCACAAAAAAAAAGGGGGAAAAAACCCCUAAAGUUACAAUUUUAUUGCAUAACUAUUCUGAAAUGAUCUAAAAUGAUUAUGUUUACCUAUUAUCAGGGUAAAUCUAGAGUGGUCUAUCAGGACGGUUAUUUGAAGCAUAGUCAUCUGAUAGUGGGGAAAUAAAGGAUGAUGCUUGCUUCUUGCAAGAGUCAUCAAGGCCCCACACACUCCCCAUUACAACUUUUUUGCCAUUAUCUUAGUGUUUUCUGUAGGAUGCUACUCUAGUAAUGAAAAGGAGAAUAAGCUGAAAAUCUAGAAAUGGGGGAAGGAGGCUUUUUUUUUUGGGAGUGGGGGUGGGGGGCUACUAAUAGGUGGAGGUUCUGCCUCCUUGGAGGACAGCAACAUCAUAUGACAUCCAACUUUAUAUGAUUUAUAUCAACAAAACAUUAUGCUCAAUCUACUCAGAACAAUAAUGACAUUGGACAAUUGAUUUUAUGAAUAUAUAAUGGCAAUUCUCAUAAUUAAGCUAGCACUAUUUUAAGCAGCAAAGAGCCAAUGAGUCUAACACCUCUACUAAUGGUUUGCAAAAGUAUACAUGGCAAUAUCACAGGGAUAAUAGUAUUGGCAAUGCAAGAAGUUAAUCGUGUGUUAAAGUCAAAGGCAAUAUAAUCAAAUUCAGAUAAUGGUCACAUCAGGCAUAAUAAUAUGAUGAAUUGCAGAGGGAAUUUUCAGAUAGCAUAGCAAUGUGUAAGCAUAACAAGUACUAGUUUGAUACACAACACAUUGUAACUGUAGUGACAAAUCUGAGAUUAUGACUUGCACUUUUUAAAUCCAACAUUGAAAAUGAAAUUUCAACCAAAGUAUUCAGCACAAGAGAGUACACUAUCCAUAGGAGGAGAGUCAAUACUUUUCAUGAAUUGCAGGAUCUGAUUAAAUAACCAGAAAAGAUACUGAAUAUUUAUUCUUAAGGUCAGUUUGCAGAAUAGAAUAGGAUAUCCUGUUAACCAGAGAACUCUUAGCAUAAACCGGAAAUGUAUGGGUUUUGGAACAAGGAAAUAAUCAUGCCAUAUGAUUGUACUGAAAACAAUAAUUUCUACUGGAAAAUAUCAAAUCAGUUUACUUCCCGCAAUCAAAAGAAUGACAUGAAUCUAUGAUCUCCAUCACCUUUCCCAGCUGCAAGUACAACCCUAAUAGAGAUAUUAUCAACUGAAAAUAGUUGCUUAUGAUUAGACUUUUCCAUUCUCUCAGUGGUUGCUGGAAUCAAGGAUCUCAAACCAUCUAAUAAGACAGAUCAAACAACUGAUUGACUUCAAAAAAUGGUUGGCUGUAUUUUUAAAUAAAUUGAUGUUUCAUACUUAGAGUAACAAACAUUUGACUUAACCCCUCUAAUGCUGUAAGAAUUCAAAUCCAACAUAUGCAGUGAUAGCUCUAAAAAUAUAUCAAAAGAUCAUAACUUAACUUACCAUUUAACACAUUGUCAGCAUUCUCAUAUAAGCUUGUAGUAAAAUAAUUUUACACAUCAAGAUACAUGUCAACUAUACCAAUUUAGAUAACAACUUAGAUUUAGUUAAUUAGCCAACCGCUCUUGAACUAUAUAGAACAAACUGGUAAAUUAGUUGCAAUCUUACUCCCCAUGAGAUGGCCUGUUUGGUAAAUUACUUCAAACGUUAAUUGCAAUAAGAAAGUAACUAAUCUUUCCAACACUUGUAAAACAAAAAAAUUUGGGCAAUCAUCUGUAUAGAAAACAUAGAAACAAUGAAAAGAAAGUAGUGAAUGUCCUUAAAAUAGCAUUGAGGAGACUUAAAGAUACAUUUAGACUCUAUAUAAAGUGCAAUAGAAAUGCAUCUACUCAUGAUCAAAGGCUUAAGUGUCAAGCUACUGCUUCAGAAAGACAUGGAUGAAGAACAAACAUAAUGUAAAAACAAAGACAAUAUAACCUAACUACCAAAGCUAUCACUGAGGUGUGAUAACAAUAGACAUACCUCCCAGUUUCUCAAUACACUCAAGAUUAAUUAUCAUACUUGAAGAAUAAGAAGAAGAAAAGAGAUUUGUGUAAAGAGAAGCUUGAUUAUUCCCUCAACCUGAUUGGGGUUUAUAUAUGAUUUACAGAAUACACUAAAAAAGAAGAUAUACAAGAAACAAUACUUAUAGCAACUAAUUAAGCUAAUUAGUAUCCUAAUUUCAGCAGCUAAUCAAGUAUCUUUAGAGAUCCUAAGAGUACCAUAUGCCUGAAUAUGACAACAAUUUAAAUAGCUAAACAGAUUGUUUUGCAAUAAACAACAACUACCAGUUAGUUUCUUUCAAACUGCUUUGCUUUUCCAAUCUAAUCUCCAUUCUAAUUAUUUGCUUUCUUAUGGGCUUGCCCAUGCUAUACCAAACAACAGGGAGCAUCAAUCUAAAUAUAAACUCAGAUAAAUUCAAGAAAAUUAGUAUGAUAGAACAAUACUUUUCCCCUUCUUUAAAGUUUAUUCAGCUUAAAAUGAAACUCUUACCUUCUUAGCAUUCAAGAUUAUUUUCACAUCACUAUAAACAACUAAAGAAUUAUUAUGAUAAAAAAAUCUACAUAUAAUAGUUCUUAAAGGCUCAUGACAAGGUAGCAAACCCCAUGUGUGACAGUGCUUAUUGGGAAUUGUCAGUCAAAGAGGUACAUAGAUCUUUUGGAAUUAAGACUUCCAGUCUUGGUACAUAUGCCUGAGUAACAGCAAUUAAAUAAUGGCUCAACGGCAUUUGUUUUCUUCUCUUUCACAACAUCGCUUAGCAUUAGCUAAGUUAUUUUCUAAAUGAAUAAUAUCACAUGCUUUCAACCAAAGUAGACUAUUUGUCUAUUAUCUUCAACACGUAACUCUACUCUACUGAUCUAUCUAUAAAGAAACAACAAUGGAAAUUUUACCUACUUCUUGACCUUUCAGUUUGACUGCUAUUUUAGAAAAGCACUAGCUCCCAAAUCAUACUAGUCUUCAGAUUGAGAUUGAAAUAUGUUUGUUACCCAGUUCUAGUGACACCAAGUUAUUGCAUUUUACAUUUUCUACCCUUCUGUACAUUCUCUGUUCUUUCCUGUUGAUCUUCACUGUCCAUUAUAGUCAUUUUACUUAAACUUUAUCCAUCCAUCUACUUUCUAGUUAUGUAGACUCAUAUGUGUUCAUAUCUAUCCUAGCACAAUAACAAGCAGAAACUAUUGCAUUAUUUUUAUUAUACAAUGGCCCCAAACCACACACCCACCGCCAUACAUUAGUUGCCUCCAGUCCCGUCAUUUACACCACAAAUCAAUACUUUAUUCCACAUAAAUGUUUCCGCUCAUUCUUAUGGUUCCUUCAAUCAUAUAGACCACCCAAUUGGUGCUAACUUUCAAACAUAACGAUUGCUUUCGAAUUAAAUCUACUUCGCCUUAUAACUCAUCCAUCUCAUCAGCUUAAAGGCUUAAAGCUUCAUUGAUUUCAGAAGGUUCAUCCUCUUUUCAAGCAAUGGAUUGACAAGAAUGUCUCCUAAGCAAUGGCUAAUUUGCUUGAAAAAUAAGUAAUUCAUUUACAUAUGGAUGAAAUAAAUUACCAUCACCUGAGCUUCAAAAAUUAUGAAUAUAAGACCUAAAAUUCAAUUGCUAAUUCGUCACUGCUGCAAAGACCGUAAUCCAAUAUCUACAAUAAGGAUCAAUGUGUAAUGCAAGACAGAUUGAUUGAGCAAAACGAAGAGAAUGAGGCAUAUCAAUUAUGUGUAUGGAUGAGAAAAUCGUGUGAGCUGCGAAGUAAUAAGCUAUAUAAGUAACUGGAUAGCGAUUCAUUGGAUCUGUGAGACCAAGGUCUGCUGCAAUGUCUUACCUGCUAGAUUGAGUGAAGACGAAACGGAAGCGAAGGGAAGUAGAAGAAUUAUGUAGCCCUCUACUACCCGUUGUCUAGCUUUGUCUCCCUCGAGAAUCAAAAGAAAUUUGAUUGGUCAUUGGCCCAGACGAUUCGAAAAUUUUCCCACUGUUUUGAAAAUACUUAUCAAUUUUAUAAAAUUUUGUUUUAAAAAUUACUAUAAUUUUACUGUUCUUCUAUUAUUUAUUAAAAGAGUACCGCAGCUUUAUUUUCUUUUAUAUUAAAUAAUAUGGUUUCUGAUUUCUGAUUUUUAUUCGCUUUUAUAUAUAUAUAUAUAUAUAUAGAAAGAUAAAUUUUUUUACUAAUUUUUUAAUUAUAAAAAUAUUAAAUUUUAUUAAAUAUUAAAACAUAUUUUUAGAAUUUUUUUAAAAAAUAAAAAUAAUAGAGUUAUAAUAAUUAAUUUUUAUAUUAUUAUAAUAAAAUAAAAAAAUACAACAAUAAUUUUAAAAUGGAAAAUAUAUAAAAUUAUCUUUUAUAUUAUAAUCUCCACUCAUAUUAUUUUAUUAUUAAUUUAUUUUUAAAACUAAUAAAUUUUAUUUUUUCCAUGUAUAUUAAAUAGGGAUAUAUAACAAAUUUAAUCAAUAAAUUUAUAUUUAAAAAGAAAAAUUUAUAUAAUUUGAGACAGAUAAAAAUAUAAAAUAAACUAAUCCUCAUGUGUUGGUAGAGUAUUUACUUUAUUCUAAUACUAUCUCUAACUUAAUGCUAGGUUAAUAAUUUAUUAAAAAAUUUAAAGAUAACGUAUCAACGUGAAAGUUCAAAAUAACAUUUCAAUUAAAUCCAAUUUUUUUAUUUCUAAAUUCUAAAAGGCUAAAUUAUACAUAUAUUUAUAAAUUAUAUUUAAAAACCAUAUAAUUUUUAAUUUAAAUAGUAUUAUGGUCACAUCUUCUGUAAAUAUUUAUAUAAACAUAUUCUCAAAUUUGUUUUCGAAAUUAAAUCUCUCAUAAAAUUCUUAGAACAAGCCUUUUGAAUUAAUACAAUGUAAUUAUUAUUAUAUAAAAUUCUUCCCAAUAAAAUUAAAACUUGAAUUAAUAUGAAUGUUAUACGUGAUUCAGAGAUAUAAAUAAUAUUCCCUUUCAUCUCAUUAUUUUUAUUCCCUUUAUUUAUAUAUAUAUAUAUAUAUAUAUAUUAAAAAAUAUAUUUUUUAUUAAUAUUAUAAUUAUAUUCAUCUUAUAUAUAUUAAAAUUUAUUAAAAAUUAAAAUACAUUUUAAAAAAAUUUUUAAAAAUAAAAUAAAAUAAAAUAAAAUAAAAUUAUAAUAAUCGAUUUAUAGGUUAAAAAAGUGGACAACCCCUUAAAUCUCACUUCUGUUAGUUAUUAUUAUUAUUAUUAUUAACCAAAAUGCAUUUUUUUUUAUAAUUAAAGACGUACAACAAACAUAUGAAAAAAAAAAAUUGAAUUAGUUUUGGAUAAAUAUCGUUUUAAAUUUUGCAACUAUGGACUAUUUCAAAAAAAAAAAAUUCUACAACUAUGGACCAUCUCAUAUUCACUUGACAAGGAAAAUUGGCAAAGUCCCAAGAUCUCAUUUGCAUAAAACUAAAGUAAUGGCUUUAUCAAUAACCAGCAGGUUCCAUCCCAGAAACUUGGACUUGGCUUACCUCAAACACAUGGCCACCCCAAAGCUUAGAUCCCUAAUUCCAAUCCCAUUUGCCUUUCUUGUAGUUGGUUAGGGUAUAUACACACCUAACCAAUAAGAAAUCAAUAAAACAUAUUGCGUAUUGAAACCAACUAUAUAUUGUAGCAAAGUCCACCAUCACUUUAAUAAUUUACCGGUCAGAGUGUAUACACCCUGAUGUAUGUAAGAAGUUUCCUGAUCGAGAUAGUUCAAGUUACGACUCAAAGUCUCAGUGGGUCAAUUACACCCAUCCCUGUAACUCGGUCCUGUAACUUUGAAAGUAAGACAAAGCCAGAAUCUUGGCUACUUGGUUGCCCUGCAUUUAUAAAGCUCUAACUCUUAGGCCCGAUAGGAUUCAGUGCCCACAAUUUGUCAGGAUAAAUCCCAAAUGUAGCGAAACCGAUAUCAUCACAAUACAAUCAAUAAAACCAGAAGUUGAAUCACAAUAUCGAAUCAUCUUUUGAUUCAUCAGUCAUCAAAUACACAACAUUUAAAAAAACUCAACUCCUAUAUAGAUAUAUUAAAGCCGUAAACCUUUCUCUUUUAUCAGGCUUCAAAUAAGCAUAUAAACUAACAGGCACUUCUUUAUGCAAUCAAAACAUAAAUCAGGUGUUGCAUCUGAACCAUAUCAACAAUCAUGUGAGUCCCUUGCCUAGGCCUUCAUCUUGGAUUUCUCCAUUACUCUGGGAGCUAUGCAUCAGAUAAAAAAAAGGAAGCUAAGAGCUGUAGGAACACCAAUUCUUAAAGAACGAUGAUAACAAAAGCACCAAGAAUGAUACUGAGGUGAUAACCAAAUGAAAAAGAAAGUUACUCUUCAAACACAAUAGCAAAUUACUGAUAAUGAUAGUCUCAGCUGUCUAAUGCUGCUAUUUUACUAAGUAUAUGACACUCUGAAGACAAUACCUACAAAGCUAGAACUCUUAUCCAUCAUUACCAUUCAAAUCACUCCAGUCUUCGCGCACGUAAAGUUGUCAACACAAAUCAAUGCACACAAAUUUCCUGUAACCAUAAAAUAAGUUUCUUUCCUAACAGUAUAUCAAUCCUAUUUUCCCUAUUUUUUUGGGAAGGGACUGAGUAAUGAGUCCACUAACCCCAGCUGGAAUUGACAUUCCACUUUACAUUUGUUCCUUAAUCCAUUAGAUUAAAAAAGAUAGCGUACCUAAGCCAAUCGCCUCAGAGCUCUUCAUUAUCUUUAAUCUCUUGCAUGUGUCAAUAAACAUCCUGUGGCAAAAUAAAAAUGAGAAGUUUAUCAGGCAAUCUUUUGAUUAUAAAAUGCAACUCAUUCCAGGAAGCAAGGUUCCAAUGUGUUGCAUCUAUUAAGCAAACCAAUAUCAUGUUCAUACCAAGCAACUUUAGUACAUGAUGUAAUGCACUCAUUCAAAUCAGCCAUUAUUCACAUGUUAUUAUAUAAAAUAUGCAAACACAUUUAGUCAUUAUCAUGAAUUCAUGUACUUGACGACAAAACACCAGCAUAAAAUAACUUGAUUUAACCUGGGAAUACUAACAAACAAGGCCACAACCAACAUGUCUUGACGCAGAUUCAAAAGCACCCAAAAAAAUCAUGAUAUAAAUGCCUGAAGAUGUGACCCCACCUCUAGAAGAAUACCAAAAAUGAUUUCAUGAGUUCAAUAAAUCUAUAGAAAGCAAAACCACUUUUUCUUAUCAUGAUUUUUGCUGAAGAACAUCUAAAUGAACAGACUGCUCUCGGGAUUUUUGAGAGAAUCCAUAAUGCCAUAAUAUUGAUUUUGAAGAGACAAUCGUUAUUUGUUCUUUGGACUUCUACCCACUUUUGAGGGUACAUAACAUUAAAUAUUAAAGAAAUAGUAUAAGGAAUCACAUCUUUGACUAGAGUUUAAAAUUUUUAUACAAUUAAUUGUCCAUGAGAACAAAUUAGACUAUUACUAUCUAGCAUACAAACAAAUCAGAUAAUUAGAAUUAAAAAUCCUUCAUUCAAUUAUUCAUUUUACCUAAAAACAAUGGCAGGAUCAGCUUGCAUAAUCCUUCGACAAAAAAAAAAAAAAAAAGCUUGCAUAAUCAAUUCAACUAAUAUUACAAGUAGAUGAAAGAUAAAGCCAGUCCCUCCACAUACACCAUAUAUACAAUAUGCUUUUGAAAGGUUUCACUUUCACAUGUACAAUAUCAUAUAGCAUAGAACUUUAGCACUAAUAUUGGAAGUGAAGAUCUAAAUCACUUUCAUUAAAAAGGAAAUGAUGAAAAAAGAAUCACAUAUAGACAAAACUUACUCCCAUGGUACAUCCCCUACAAGCAUCCAGUCACCAUCCUUAUCCUCAUAUGUAAGCACAUAUUCUGAUCCAUUCAAAAGAUCCCUCAACUUACUCUCACUUAGCUUUUCCUUCCCAGGAACUCCAUGAGAUCCACAUUGACCUGAAAUUAAAAUGAAAACUGUAGUAACCAUGUCCACACUGAAAUAGAUCAUCUUCUUUUUGCAUGACUCAGGCAUUUUACUCCUAGUCUCCUAUAUAGAACCAGCCACUGGGCCAGGCCAGAAAGGAUCUGACAGCUCAGAAUUAAUUAAGAAGGUGAUUGAUUUAUCUUUUUAAUACAAUUGAUAGCUAAUAAGCUCACAAACAACUAAUGUAUAGAUUUGGUAAACUCUUUUAAAAGACCGCUAAUAGCUAAUAGGUAGCCUAUUAGCUCUAACUUUAAAGCCUUUUCUUAUCAGAAGAUAGUUGAUGGGACUUUAUUUUUUAUUUAUACUACAUUAUCUCUUUAAUACAUACUAAUUAGAAAAAUUGUCUCCAAAUUAAUUUUAUAUAUCAAUAAAUUAUUUGGACUUAUAAAAUAAACACACACACACACACAUAUAUUACAAAGCAAAUUUAAAUUAGUCAUACUGAUUAUGCUUACAUGAUAAAAAUAUGCAUAUACAUAAAAAAUAAAUUAUAUUUUAUUAUUUAUAUUUUAAAUCUUGUACAUAUUAUAUAAUAAACUAUUAAUUACUUGUAUAUUUUAGUAAUGAAUAAAUAAUAUGAUAUAUAUCCUUAUUUGUCAUUUUAUAUAUUAAUAGCAAUAGCGAGACAUAAUUUACCAAACGCUUAGGAUUUAUUAGCUGCAAUUAGCUAUUAGUUAUCAGUUGUAUUCAAUAGUUAAACUAAAUAGACCUUAAGGGAAGUGAACUAAAACUACAAUGACACAACGCAGUUCUGGAUGGUUUUGGGCCAGGUUUGGUCCAAUUCAAUGGUGGUUCCAAUUUUAGACAUGUUUGGGUUUUGCAUAAGUUUUAGAAUGGAUCCACCAUUUCUCUUUUUAUUUAGAGAGAGAGAGAGAGAGAGAGAGAGAGAGAGAGGGAGGGAGCCCAAAAUUAGGCACUCAAAAAAAAGUUACUAGAGGGUGGAAAAUAUUAAAGUUGAGACAGAAAAUUGAAAGGAAAUGUGAAAUCUGUGGCAUUUAUAGGAAAGGAAUAAAUUUUUAUAUUCUCAAAAUGCCCUAAAAACUAGCUGUUUUGGGUUUUGACUGUUAUAAGGAACACAAAUUGCCCUUUUUUUUUUUUUUGGUAUAGUUCACUCCAACUAAGACCCGAACUCAAGACCUCGAGACCUCAUCGCCCUGAAGACGACACCAAUACCACCAAUCUAAAGCCCAUUAGUAAAAAAUUGUCCUUUUCCACUAUUAAAAAACAAAAAAGAAAAGAAAACUGGAGGGCCAACAUCUUGACCAUUGGGGAGAAGGAAUUUAAAGGAGGGAGC